rnacentral:tRNA from 1 species
GGGGCUAUAGCUCUGCUGGGAGAGCGCUUGCAUGUCAUGCAAGAGGUCAGCGGUUCGAUCCCGCUUAGCUCCACCA